UACAGAGGGGGCGAGCGUUGUUCGGAAUUACUGGGCGUAAAGGGCGCGUAGGCGGCCCGCUAAGUCGAACGUGAAAUCCCCAGGCUCAACCUGGGAACUGCGUCCGAUACUGGCAGGCUUGAAUCCGGGAGAGGGAUGUGGAAUUCCAGGUGUAGCGGUGAAAUGCGUAGAUAUCUGGAGGGACACCGGUGGCGAAGGCGGCAUCCUGGACCGGUAUUGACGCUGAGGCGCGAAAGCUAGGGGAGCAAACGGG
rnacentral:rRNA from 1 species